GUGGAUUAGAUACCCUAGUAGUCCACGCCGUAAACGAUGAAUACUAGGUGUAGGGGUUGUCAUGACUUCUGUGCCGCCGCUAACGCAUUAAGUAUUCCGCCUGGGGAGUACGGUCGCAAGAUUAAAACUCAAAGGAAUUGACGGGGGCCCGCACAAGCAGCGGAGCAUGUGGUUUAAUUCGAAGCAACGCGAAGAACCUUACCUAGACUUGACAUCUCCUGCAUUACUCUUAAUCGAGGAAGUCCUUUCGGGGACAGGAUGACAGGUGGUGCACGGCCGUCGUCUGCU
rnacentral:rRNA from 1 species